rnacentral:rRNA from 1 species
GAGUUUGAUCCUGGCUCAGAUUGAACGCUGGCGGCAUGCCUUACACAUGCAAGUCGAACGGCAGCAUGAUCUAGCUUGCUAGAUUGAUGGCGAGUGGCGAACGGGUGAGUAAUACAUCGGAACGUGCCCUGUAGUGGGGGAUAACUAGUCGAAAGAUUAGCUAAUACCGCGUACGACCUGAGGGUGAAAGUGGGGGACCGCAAGGCCUCAUGCUAUAGGAGCGGCCGAUGUCUGAUUAGCUAGUUGGUGGGGUAAAGGCCCACCAAGGCGACGAUCAGUAGCUGGUCUGAGAGGACGAUCAGCCACACUGGGACUGAGACACGGCCCAGACUCCUACGGGAGGCAGCAGUGGGGAAUUUUGGACAAUGGGCGAAAGCCUGAUCCAGCAAUGCCGCGUGUGUGAAGAAGGCCUCGGUUGUAAG